CGUCAUCCAAAAUGGGAAAUGUCGAUAAUGAAUCCUUAAUGAAUCUAACUUGCAUGUUUUCGUAAUAUAAGGCUGUGGAAAGGCUAUAGAUGACUACCCUCCAAUCCAAAAUUGUUAUGUAGACGGAGUACGCGCUAAUGCAGCUGACGUCAGGAUCAGAAACCUAUUGAUUAAAUAAAUGAAUCAGAUUAGUGAAUCGGUAAAAACUAUGCCAAGUCUUCUAACAAUGCAGCACUAUUUGCGUUACAAUACUACGCGUACAUGUCUUUUGACGCAAUACAGAAAGGAGUUCGAAUCGAGUAAAAUAUCUCUAUUUAUUAAAUAAUAAAAUAAUGAAUUAUAUCAUAA